AACGCUGGCGGCAGGCUUAACACAUGCAAGUCGAACGGUAACAUGAGUGCUUGCACUUGAUGACGAGUGGCGGACGGGUGAGUAAGGUAUGGGGAUCUGCCGAAUGGAGGGGGACAACAGUUGGAAACGACUGCUAAUACCGCAUAACGUUGAGAGACCAAAGCAUGGGACCUUCGGGCCAUGCGCCAUUUGAUGAACCCAUAUGGGAUUAGCUAGUUGGUGGGGUAAGGGCUCACCAAGGCGACGAUCUCUAGCUGGUCUGAGAGGAUGACCAGCCACACUGGAACUGAGACACGGUCCAGACUCCUACGGGAGGCAGCAGUGGGGAAUAUUGCACAAUGGGGGGAACCCUGAUGCAGCCAUGCCGCGUGUAUGAAGAAGGCCUUCGGGUUGUAAAGUACUUUCGGUAGUGAGGAAGGUAGUGUAUCUAAUAGGUGCACUAAUUGACGUUAAUUACAGAAGAAGCACCGGCUAACUCCGUG
rnacentral:rRNA from 1 species